UACAGAGGUCUCGAGCGUUUGUUCGGAUUCAUUGGGCGUAAAGGGUGCGUAGGUGGCGCUGUAAGUCGGGUGUGAAAUCCUGAGGCUUAACCUCGGAACUGCAUUCGAUACUGCGGCGCUUGAGGACUGGAGAGGAGACUGGAAUUCAUGGUGUAGCAGUGAAAUGCGUAGAGAUCAUGAGGAAGACCAGUGGCGAAGGCGGGUCUCUGGGACAGUUCCUGACACUGAGGCACGAAGGCCAGGGGAGCAAACGGG
rnacentral:rRNA from 1 species